rnacentral:rRNA from 1 species
GCUUACAGCCAUACCACAUAGAGCACGCCCAACCUCGUCUGAUCUCAGAAGCUAAGCAGUGCUGGGCUUGGUUAGUACUUGGUUAGUACUGCCUGGGAAUACCAGGUGCUGUAAGCU